GAACGCUGGCGGCAGGCCUAACACAUGCAAGUCGAACGGUAACAGGAAUCAGCUUGCUGAUUCGCUGACGAGUGGCGGACGGGUGAGUAAUGUCUGGGAAACUGCCUGAUGGAGGGGGAUAACUACUGGAAACGGUAGCUAAUACCGCAUAACGUCGCAAGACCAAAGAGGGGGACCUUCGGGCCUCUUGCCAUCGGAUGUGCCCAGAUGGGAUUAGCUAGUAGGUGGGGUAACGGCUCACCUAGGCGACGAUCCCUAGCUGGUCUGAGAGGAUGACCAGCCACACUGGA
rnacentral:rRNA from 1 species